rnacentral:rRNA from 1 species
GAUUAACGCUAGCGGCAGGCCUAAUACAUGCAAGUCGAACGGGAUUUCGGGUAGCAAUAUCUGAAUGAGAGUGGCGCACGGGUGCGUAACACGUAUGCAAUCUGCCUCUGACUGGGGAAUAGCCUUCCGAAAGGAAGAUUAACACCGCAUAAAAUAAUGAAGUGGCAUCACUUUAUUAUCAAAACUCCGGUGGUCAGAGAUGAGCAUGCGUCCGAUUAGCUAGUUGGUGAGGUAACGGCUCACCAAGGCGACGAUCGGUAGGGGGUCUGAGAGGAUGGUCCCCCACACUGGUACUGAGACACGGACCAGACUCCUACGGGAGGCAGCAGUAAGGAAUAUUGGACAAUGGUCGCAAGACUGAUCCAGCCAUGCCGCGUGAAGGAUGAAUGCCCUAUGGGUUGUAAACUUCUUUUAAACGGGAAAAAACCCCUCUACGUGUAGAGGGCUGAUGGUACCGUAAGAAUAAGGAUCGGCUAACUUCGUGCCAGCAGCCGCCGUAAUAC